UACGUAGGGUGCAAGCGUUAAUCGGAAUUACUGGGCGUAAAGCGUGCGCAGGCGGUUUUGUAAGUCUGUCGUGAAAUCCCCGGGCUCAACCUGGGAAUUGCGAUGGAGACUGCAAGGCUAGAGUGUGUCAGAGGGGGGUAGAAUUCCACGUGUAGCAGUGAAAUGCGUAGAUAUGUGGAGGAACACCGAUGGCGAAGGCAGCCCCCCUGGGAUAACACUGACGCUCAUGCACGAAAGGCGUGGGGAGCAAACAGG
rnacentral:rRNA from 1 species